rnacentral:rRNA from 1 species
GCCUGUGACCAAACCGCUCGGAAUGUACCUAAUACCGUCUGAUCUGGGAAGCUAAGCAGGGCUGCGCCUGGAUUGUGCUUGGAUGGGUGACCACCAUGCAUGCACCCACAGGUUGCCAUAGGGC